UUAGAAAGCAAUUUGAGUUAUCACGCUAAUUAAAGGGGUGUGCAGGCACAAGACCUGACUAGAUCUAGAUCCCUAACGUUAACAAAAAUCAGAUGGUUGAGAAUAAGAAUUUCACAUAAAUAGAAAUGUGAAAGUACGAUGUGCAACUGAGAAGUUGCCAUGAUUUUUUCUUUUCAGGCUGUUGGCAGCUCUGAAAUGAAUGGCUUCAUUUAAUCACAAAAGAAGGAAUACCAGCAAGACCACCCAGGCCCCAGCUCCGGUUUUUCCUGAAGAAUUUGGCCGCAUCUCCCUUUUUGAAGGCAGAGUUUCAUCUUGUGCCGUGCAGUCUUCAGUGUUGGCUGCAGCCACAGCCCCUGCAAUGCAGACCAGGAUGAGGGAAAGCCGCUGGAAGAGGCCUACAGCAUUUUUUAUUAGUAAAUCCAGAGGACGUGUUAUAUAAAGUGUAAGACAAC
rnacentral:lncRNA from 1 species